rnacentral:rRNA from 1 species
GUAAGGAAUAUUGGUCAAUGGACGCAAGUCUGAACCAGCCAUGCCGCGUGAAGGAAGACGGCCCUACGGGUUGUAAACUUCUUUUGUACGGGAAAAAACCACCGGUCGUGAACCGGUGCUGAUGGUACCGUAAGAAUAAGCAUCGGCUAACUCCGUGCCAGCAGCCGCGGUAAUACGGAGGAUGCAAGCGUUAUCCGGAUUCAUUGGGUUUAAAGGGUGCGCAGGCGGAAUGAUAAGUCAGUGGUGAAAUCCUACGGCUCAACUGUAGAACUGCCAUUGAUACUGUUGUUCUUGAGUACACUUGGAGUGGGCGGAAUGUGUCAUGUAGCGGUGAAAUGCUUAGAUAUGACACAGAACACCGAUCGCGAAGGCAGCUCACUAAGUUGUAACUGACGCUCAGGCACGAAAGCGUGGGGAUCAAACAGGAUUAGAUACCCGAGUAGUCC